rnacentral:lncRNA from 1 species
UGGCUAUGAUAUCUCUGCUGCAGCAGUUGGUUUCCCAUGAGUAUAUUCCACCAUUGUUCCAGUAUUGUCCCCUGCUGGGCCAUGUGUGAAAUCCGGUUCAUCUGUGCCGAUUUUAAACUGAAGUCAUCAAAUACUGCCAACUUCAAUUCAAAAAUUUGAAAAAAAAUUGGAUUGAAACAGAAGAUCGAGAUCAAAAUUCCCCUACUCGAUCCUCAUCACCAACACCAAGUAAUAAGGUGACUAAAUGAUGGCUGGUGCGGGAUCUCCGGACAGCUAUAAAUUAAUGGCCGACGGCCAUUGGGGGCUGAUGCAAUCGGCGAAUGGCUGGC